GGGUGUGGAGAUAUAAUAGAUACAAAACUAAGUGUCUGGAUUAGAGCAAAGAGAAGAAGAAGAGGGUCUUCUUCUAGGGUUGCUGAUUUCACCUCUUUUCUUCCUCCUUCUGUGAGUUAUCUGAGAGUGUCUCACAUAUAAAAAUCCUUCUCAUACUUCUCAUCUUUGGAAGAGUCUAAAUCAAGAAGAAAGAGGCAUCUGAUUGACCAUCGAAGAAGGAUCAGCACAGUACUAGCAUACUGUGCUGAUUUUCUGGAUCAGAACUUCUGAUCGUGAUUCGUGGGCUCGUGUGGAUGACUCCUAGAGGUCGGAUGUGUGUGCGUCUUACAAUGUCAU
rnacentral:lncRNA from 1 species